rnacentral:rRNA from 1 species
CCAACCUGGCCUUCACCACGGGAUAACCCGGCGAAAGUCGGACUAAUACCGUAUGUUGUCCAUUGACGGCAUCCGAUUUGGACGAAAGGCUUAGCGGUGAGGGAUGGGGAUGCGUCCGAUUAGCUCGACGGCGGGGUAACGGCCCACCGUGGCAACGAUCGGUAGGGGUUCUGAGAGGAAGGUCCCCCACACUGGAACUGAGACACGGUCCAGACUCCUACGGGAGGCAGCAGUGAGGAAUAUUGGUCAAUGGGCGGAAGCCUGAACCAGCCAAGUAGCGUGCAGGAUGACGGCCCUAUGGGUUGUAAACUGCUUUUAUGCGGGGAUAAAGGGGCCCACGUGUGGGUUUUUGCAGGUACCGCA